rnacentral:lncRNA from 1 species
UUUUUAACUUUUUUGGAUUCGAGCGUCACUGAUGAGUCUUUUUGUAGACGAAAUGCGUCUGGCGUAUAUACAAAAUUUAGUCCUGGUAUUAAUGAUGAAUUUAUUUACAUACAUGGCAGACCACACUCCUUUAUUUCUUUAAUGGCUUUCAGUUUGGUGGACACAGGGAAUUGAUUCCUAGUUCCCUCCCCAAACUCCUACUUCCCUCCAUAUUCUGUUCCCCUUCACUCCCAUGUUUCAUCAACAAGAAUUAUCUCUGUUUUAACAACACUUUUCUCGCGAUUAAAAUCACCCUGCCUCAAGCUUUCAUCCAUCAUAUUCUCAUUUCUAGUCCUCUCAUUUCAUAGUUCCCAUAAUUCUGUCCAACCCCUUAUCAGUGCCACAAUGGCUGGCACCCAUUAACAACCCAUCAUUCGACAAAUUGUAUUAUAUUACCUGAUUUGUCUCCUAUAUGCAAAA